rnacentral:ncRNA from 1 species
AUAUGUUGAGGUGAGAAACGGCUCUCACACACCCUAUGGGUCAAAAGAGAUGUAGGUACCGCUGGACCUACCAACAUAU